UAUAAAAAAUUAGUAGUCACUGUAACAUCAUUACUAAGAUUUUACUUUAACAGAUCUGUAAACACUGCUCGAAGUUUCAAACAAAAAUAAUAAAAAAUUAAAAUACAAAAAUAUAUAUCAUACUACUUAAGAUAUCAACGGAAAUUAAAGAUUUAGACAAAAAAUAUUAAACUAAUUUUUCACAUUUAGUGUUUUAGUUAUGCUACUUAUUUUUCAGUUUCAUAAAUUUAAAACUUAUUAUGUAAAUAUCAAAAAUAUCAGGCAUAAAAUAAGAUAAUGAUAAGUUUACUCCAAAUUUACUAGAAAAAAUAAAGCAAAAAUAAUGAAAAUUAUUUAACCAAUAAAUUCUUAUAAAAAAUACAAACUCAAACAAUACAACUCACCUAAUAGUAAA
rnacentral:lncRNA from 1 species